ensembl:lncRNA
AACACAAGGCCUAUUGGGAAGUGGAUUCAGCUGUGCUUUAGAACUGCCUAAAACCCCUUCCAGGGGCGCCCCUCCAUCCCCUUGCCGGACCACCAGCCCAGUAGACCAGGUUGGGGGAGGCAGUCCCCAGCUCACCAGAUGCAUGUCAGAAGCCCCUGAAGCUUUAGAAAGCACAGCUGCACAGGACUUAGCUGAGACCCAUAGAAGCGGCAUCUCUGGGGGUGAAGUAGGGUCUGGUUAUGUGACAGCUCCAGCUGAUUCUGAUGAUCAGUGACAGCUGGGACCACGGUGCCAGCUGAGACCACCAUGCUCACAUGGCUGAGAUCAGUUCCUGCCUGUCUCUCCAGCAUGGCUCCCCACCAACCACUCCUCACCCCACCAAGAAACCAUCUUCCUCCCUGAAACACACCACACUCUGUCCAUUCUCACUUUCGCCAUCAGUAGGAAUUGUCCCUGAAGCUUCAAAAUGCUGGUGGCUCAUAAUCUGACUCUAAGAAAAGUGUCUGACCCUCGGAAACGCAGGUCUACCCAGAAAUCUAUUCUGGGGCCUAUAUUCAGCUGCCAGAGCAGGAGCUCCCGGAGUUGGUCACGUUAAAAUGAGGGCAGCAAGAACCCUACAGGUGAAAGAAUGCAAGAAACCACUCCAGUUUCCCACAAGUUCUCUGGCUACCAUGUCAGACGCCUCCUGAGCAAACAGCCCAUCAGCGAGUGGCCCCCUUCGCCGGAGCUACUAAGACAGCAGUCACCCGUUCAUCAGCAGCCCCAGCCCAGACCUGCAGAGUCAGAAGGGCUGGAGCACAGCAGUCCUCUUCCCCAGGCACAUCUGAGAAGCCUGAUUCAAUUUGGGAAGACCACCCACCAGGCACUCCACCCCCCCACUCUG